GUAGGGAAUUUUCGGCAAUGGGCGAAAGCCUGACCGAGCAACGCCGCGUGAGUGAUGAAGGUUUUCGGAUUGUAAAGCUCUGUUGUAAGGGAAGAACGGCUCCGAUAGAAUCGGGGAUUGACGGUACCUUACCAGAAAGCCACGGCUAACUACGUGCCAGCAGCCGCGGUAAUACGUAGGUGGCGAGCGUUAUCCGGAAUUAUUGGGCGUAAAGGGUGCGUAGGCGGCGAGUUAAGUUUAUGGUGAAAGCGUGGGGCUCCACCCCAUAAAGCCAUAGAUACUGGCUUGCUAGAGUAUAGGAGAGGGAAGUGGAAUUCCAGGUGUAGCGGUAAAAUGCGUAGAUAUAUGGAGGAACACCAGUGGCGAAGGCGGCUUCCUAGCCUAAGACUGACGCUGAUGCACGAAAGCGUGGGGAGCAAAUAGGAUUAGAUACCCGGGUAGUCC
rnacentral:rRNA from 1 species